rnacentral:rRNA from 1 species
UACGAAGGGGGCUAGCGUUGUUCGGAAUUACUGGGCGUAAAGGGCGCGUAGGCGGUCAGGUCAGUCCCGUGUGAAAUCCCUCGGCUCAACUGAGGAACUGCACGGGAAACUGCCUGGCUUGAGUUCGGGAGAGGGAAGCGGAAUUCCGGGUGUAGAGGUGAAAUUCGUAGAUAUUCGGAGGAACACCAGUGGCGAAGGCGGCUCACUGGCUCGGUACUGACGCUGAGGUGCGAAAGCGUGGGGAGCAAACAGG